AGAUGGGUCGUAGAGCCACGACCGGCACAAAAGAAAGCUCACUGAGA
rnacentral:sRNA from 1 species